GAAAUAGAGAGAUGAAGUACAUGGAUUUAUAAAGCCGGGGUUGGUUUCAUGCUUGUCGUUAACGUACUGCUGCAAAGUUGAAAUAGCGUACUCUCUUUUGCGGAACUAACUUCGACAGACCGAAGUUGGUGUUGCAUACUGCAAUAUUCGUUGAAUUUGAAGUAGCUGUCUUAAUAAGAAGAAUACAGCACUGUAGGAAGAAGAGCAAGCAUGGAAUGCUAUACAUUGCUUUUUCCCGAGUUAAGAGGCGAAGUAGUUUAAAAGUUCUGCAACCACCAGACAAUCUACAUUGCUUCCGCGAUGUUGUAUGGAAAGAAGUGUUGAAUACCAUGGAGGUUAACCUGGAUAUAAUGCAUAUGGACUUGACUAUGAAGAAAGCAGUGCCAGUUAUUCAAACAACAUGAAAAACUUCAAAACGAAAGCCGAACAAUUUUAGAUGGAUCGCGUAUUCGCAUAUUUAGGACGCGAAACAAUAUGAAUAAUUAAUAAUGAAUAAUGAAAUAGAUGGAAAUUUGUUAUAGAAGAUAUAAAUAGAUAAUGAUUAUUUUUGGAUUUAAUAAAGUAUCUCUCUACAAAUGCUUUAA